rnacentral:misc_RNA from 1 species
UACUACUGUUUCCUGUAGUGU